GCGCCCGCUAAUCACCACCCAUAUGCCGAGCCCUGCUCCCGAUUCAUUCCUGCCUGUGCGGGAUUACCAGGUUUGGCAAACAUCCCACCGGCAGGGCCGGGAGCGGGCCAGCUGGAUCCUGCCCCCAGCUGACCCCUGCCUGUGGCCCCUGCGGGGAGCGGGGUGGGACUGCCAGGGUGGAAUUGCCAGGGCAGGAUUGCUGGAGUGGGAUUGCUGGAGCAGGAUUGCUGGGGUGGGAAUGGGGCUCCAAGCCCUGCAGGGCAGCAGUGCCUGGGGUGAGCCCUGACCCCAGCCCCGGGGGCUGCUUCACAGCACCACCCCAGCCAGCACUGACAGGGCUUGGGCCCUUAAUCUGUGGAGUCAGAGGGCAGAGAAGGAGGUUAAUGCGCUUGUGCUAAUCGCAGGAGUGCUGGGCUGCAGCUGCUGAGUGUUCUCCACGGCCACCUGACAGGGGCUGCCAUGUCCUGGGUGCCCUGUGCCCCAGCCCUGCUGCCUUGCACUGGGGGACGGCCUCCCCUGGCCAGCUUCCUGCCAUGGGGAACGUUUCAGGCCAUGGGUAAAGAUCAGAGCAGCACAUUUGCCCCUCCAAUAUCCACCCUGGGCACCCAGAGGAGACAGGUUUCCCUGGAGAAAGACCUGCUGAGCUGAUGCUACAGGGAGAGAAGGAAGCGAGGAAGGGGUUUUGCUCUCGCAGGCUCCAUCCUGCUGACAGGGUCACGCACAGGACCCACGUGGAGAGGACCCGGAUCCUUGAGACUCAGCCCAGCCAUCCAUUCAGGCCAGGACACAACACGUGAACUGCCCGUCCUGGGGAGCCAGGGAAACCAACAUGCUUGGGCACAUGGAGUGUGUGAGCAAUCGGCUGCUGACGGUGACUUGGCAGCGCAGCACAGCUCAGAACCAAAAUUAAAGCACAAGAGGAUACAGAAACUCCCUUGUCAGCACCAGGAAGGUGAAAGGAAAGCUGAGGAGAUGGAUCACCAUCUCCCUGCUGUAUGUGACCCUUUGGGAAGGAUGCACGCACCCCUCGGGACAAAUAUGCCCCUGAUUUCCUGCGAAGGCACAGCCAAACUCUUUCAUAUGAAUCUUUUAAUUCUGUUGCAGCGCCUGGAGGGAUUUUGCUCCAGCACACACACACACACACACACAUUUGGAAGCAAUCCAAGGCUGGAAGAUGCUGCCCAAAAGGGCGACUGGCUCCGGAAUGCACGAGUGCCUGGGAACAGGUGGUUAGCACGGAAAUUAUCUGGCAGCUGCGACACGUGGCAGGCAGGAGAUGAUGAAAUCACAUUUAAAACUAGAUUUCAGAAAUAAUCUCCUCCCUUUUUUUCCCCCUAAAUGCACCCUGCCAGAGCAGAGAAUAAAUCCCAGGCACACAGGGACAACACGACACCGCUCCCAGAGAUCCGAUUUUUGUGGUGGUGACAUUAUUCUCCUGUCCACGGCUCACGUCUCGCUCACAUGGCUCUCCCCCACCACACACACAGGGCACAGCC